CUCUUCACAUCCCUGCUCCCCCUCCCUCAAACUGACAUUAAGCCCUCAAACUCAAUGUGGCUGAAAGAAUGAACUAGAAGAAUGAGAUGUGUUUUUCUAAGAUGGUCAUUUAUAAGAGAGAAGUAGGCGUGUUGUGGUGGAUUUGGGGGAAGGUGACUCAGAAAUUCUGUUGUGAAGUUUUGCAGAGUCUAUGAGAUUACCAAAUGGAUGAGGGAGUAAUCAACUGGGUUCAAAUGCUGCUGAUAGACUGAAGUGAGUAGAAGCCUGAAAAUAGUCCCCUGGUUUCACAGUAUGAAGAUCACUGGUAGCUUUCACAAGAGUAGUUUUGGGGAGGAUGAAGUUGCAUUGAGGUAGAGCUGUAAAUUUGGAAGUCACUGGUAUAUGGAUGUCAUUUAAAGCCAUGAGACUGGGCGAGGUCACCAAGGGGGUGAGUGAGGUAGAGAAGAGUAUAAAGAAAGGGGAAAGGACUGAGUCCUGAGGCAUCCAACAUCAAAGGCAGAGGAGGCCUGGCCCUGACCAUGUAUCAUAGAUAAAUCUGAAUAAUUAUUCUACCUCUUUGUGCUUCCAUUUG